AUGAAAACUAUUUUACAAAUU
ensembl:piRNA 21ur-5161 ncRNA